GUGCUCGCUAUGGCAGCACAUAUACUAAAAUUGGAACAAUACAAAGAAGACUAGCAAUAGCCCCUGCACAAGGAUGACAUGCAAAUUCGUGAAGUGUUCCAUAUUUUU
ensembl:snRNA U6 U6 spliceosomal RNA